AACAUGAAGAUAAUUCUUACAUCGAAUUUCCAGCCGUGAUGGAGCCUGCUUUCAUUAUAAAACAUUAUGCUGGAAAAGUAAAAUAUGGGGUAAAGGAUUUCCGGGAAAAAAAUACAGAUCAUAUGCGCCCAGACAUUGUAGCUCUUCUGAGAAGCAGCAAGAAUGCAUUUAUCUCUGGGAUGAUUGGAAUUGAUCCUGUAGCUGUUUUCCGAUGGGCAAUUCUCCGAGCUUUUUUCAGAGCCAUGGUUGCUUUCAGGGAAGCUGGGAAAAGAAACAUUCACAGAAAAACUGGUAUAACCCGGAAAAAUCCCAGAACACCUCUUUCUGAUCUCCAGGGCAUGAAUGCUCUAAAUGAAAAAAACCAACAGUAAGUGUGUUUGGUUUAUGUUUUCAAGGACGUAUAGAAGAAAUAACUAACAUUCUUAUUGAUAUUUUUGUGACUUUAAAAGUUUGAAG
rnacentral:lncRNA from 1 species